rnacentral:rRNA from 1 species
AUUGAACGCUGGCGGCAGGCCUAACACAUGCAAGUCGAACGGUAACAGGAAGACGCUUGCUUCUUUGCUGACGAGUGGCGGACGGGUGAGUAAUGUCUGGGAAACUUCCUGAUGGAGGGGGAUAACUACCGGAAACGGUAGCUAAUACCGCAUAACGUCGCAAGACCAAAGAGGGGGACCUUCGGGCCUCUUGCCAUCGGAUGUGCCCAGAUGGGAUUAGCUAGUAGGUGGGGUAACGGCUCACCUAGGCGACGAUCCCUAGCUGGUCUGAGAGGAUGACCAGCCACACUGGAACUGAGACACGGUCCAGACUCCUACGGGAGGCAGCAGUGGGGAAUAUUGCAAAAUGGGCGAAAGCCUGAUGCAGCCAUGCCGCGUGUAUGAAGAAGGCCUUCGGGUUGUAAAGUACUUUCAGCGGGGAGGAAGGGAGUAAAGUUAAUACCUUUACUCAUUGACGUUACCCGCAGAAGAAGCACCGGCUAACUCCGUG